GGUUAAGCGACUAAGCGUACACGGUGGAUGCCCUGGCAGUCAGAGGCGAUGAAGGACGUGCUAAUCUGCGAUAAGCGUCGGUGAGGUGAUAUGAACCGUUAUAACCGGCGAUUUCCGAAUGGGGAAACCCAGUGUGUUUCGACACACUAUCAUUAACUGAAUCCAUAGGUUAAUGAGGCGAACCGGGGGAACUGAAACAUCUAAGUACCCCGAGGAAAAGAAAUCAACCGAGAUUCCCCCAGUAGCGGCGAGCGAACGGGGAGGAGCCCAGAGCCUGAAUCAGUGUGUGUGUUAGUGGAAGCGUCUGGAAAGGCGCGCGAUACAGGGUGACAGCCCCGUACACAAAAAUGCACAU
rnacentral:rRNA from 1 species